rnacentral:rRNA from 1 species
ACGGGAGGCAGCAGUGGGGAAUAUUGCACAAUGGGGGGAACCCUGAUGCAGCAACGCCGUGUGAGCGAAGAAGGCCUUUGGGUCGUAAAGCUCUGUCCUAAGGGAAGAAGGAAGUGACGGUACCUUAGGAGGAAGCCCCGGCUAACUACGUGCCAGCAGCCGCGGUAAUACGUAGGGGGCGAGCGUUAUCCGGAAUAAUUGGGCGUAAAGGGUACGUAGGCGGUAUAUUAAGCGUAGGGUGAAAGGCAUAGGCUAAACCAAUGUAAGCCUUGCGAACUGAGAUACUUGAGUGCAGGAGAGGGAAGCGGAAUUCCUAGUGUAGCGGUGAAAUGCGUAGAUAUUAGGAGGAACACCAGUGGCGAAGGCGGCUUCCUGGUCUGUAACUGACGCUGAGGUACGAAAGUGUGGGGAGCAAACAGGAUUAGAUACCCUGGUA